UGCCUCAGUAACGGCGAGUGAAGCGGCAACAGCUCAAAUUUGAAAUCUGGCCCCCCGGCCCGAGUUGUAAUUUGCAGAGGAUGCUUUUGGCGAGGCACCUACCGAGUCCCCUGGAAUGGGGCGCCACAGAGGGUGAGAGCCCCGUAUGGUAGGACGCCGAGCCUCUGUAAAGCUCCUUCGACGAGUCGAGUAGUUUGGGAAUGCUGCUCUAAAUGGGAGGUAAAUUUCUUCUAAAGCUAAAUACCGGCCAGUGACCGAUAGCGCACAAGUAGAGUGAUCGAAAGAUGAAAAGCACUUUGAAAAGAGGGUUAAAAAGUACGUGAAAUUGUUGAAAGGGAAGCGCUUGUGACCAGACUUGCGCCCGGCGGAUCAUCCAGCGUUCUCGCUGGUGCACUCCGCCGGGCUCAGGCCAGCAUCGGUCCCCGCCGGGGGACAAAGGCUUCGGGAACGUAGCUCCUCUCGGGGAGUGUUAUAGCCCGUCGCGUAAUACCCCGGCGGGGACCGACGACCGCGCUUCGGCAAGGAUGCUGGCGUAAUGGUCAUCAGCGACCCGUCUUGAAACACGGACCGAGGAGUCAAGCAUUAGUGCGAGUGUUUGGGUGUAAAACCCGCACGCGUAAUGAAAGUGAACGUAGGUGAGAGCUUCGGCGCAUCAUCGACCGAUCCUGAUGUUUUCGGAUGGAUUUGAGUAGGAGCAUUAACGCUUGGACCCGAAAGAUGGUGAACUAUACUUGAAUAGGGUGAAGCCA
rnacentral:rRNA from 1 species